UGAGAAAAGUGAUGUGUAGAAAAGUCAAGCCAGAGAACCAGGAGGUAACAGAGCUGGGAUUUGAACCCAAGAAGCCUGGCCAAGAACUUUGUGCCCCUGAAUACUCUGCUUUUCUGCUGAUCCUGUCAUAGGGACCCUGCACCCUAUCACUGGUCAAUGUGGGAAUAUAAUGGUAAGGCCCUCCUUGCAACAGCUUGGGACCACUUUGGCAGGCCAUUACCAUUCCAGAGCUCCCUGGAGGAGCCAGCUGUGGCCUUCUUUGAAACUCUAUCAACUCAGCCAACUUCUACCCUCUGCCCAGUCCCACUUUCUUUCCUUUCCUUCUGCGGGUAUGCAUCCUGAGAGCCCUCCAAAUAAACUUCCUCAUGCUAAUCUUUGUGUCAGUGUCCGCUUCUUAUGGAAAUCAAGCCGGGACACCUCAUGCAUCCAAACAGACGUUGCAUGCUAAACUGACAUCAGCCUUGUUCCUUUGGAGGCACGUUCAAUACAUUUUCUUCCAGCUAAGGAUGUAUGUAAUCUAACCUAAUGUAAGCAGAUAAGCCAUGACUCAAAAGAGUCAAGAAGCAUAUCUGGUCCAGCAUGAUGCCCAACAUUGAAAGAAGAACCCCUUCUAAGCAAUUAUUAGAUCCUCAUAUGAAGUGUUCAUUGAUUGCAACUGUGGCUGCUAACACUGAGUGCUUAUUAGGUGGCAGGCACUGUGGUGACUGCUUUGCAUGGGUUAUUUCAUUUAGGCCUUAUAAACAACCCUCUAAGAUAGACACUAUUAUCAACUCAUUUUACUGUAAGGCUUACAGUAGUUAAACAACUUUCUCAAGGUUACAUGGUGACAUGGCUUUCUCUGCAACCUUAAGAGGCUACUAGAUUCCCUCACCUAAAUACAUAAUGACAAAGAGCUGUAAAGAAUUCAGUAAUGCAUUUAAAUUACUUUCUAUUUUAUUCACUGUAAAACAGCACCUGGACUCAUUUGAAAUAUAGUAGUAUAUAAGCACUAUUUUUAUUCAGCCUGCAGAAAAUUUUUGGAAUACAUAUGCAUUUGAAAACCUCUACAAUAGCAAAACACAGGAAAAAAAGUGGGAGGGACAUUCAAAACUGGCAAAUGCUAUCAACUUUGAGAAGCAGUAACCGAAGGGACAAAGUAGAAAAUUUUAGUAAGACUUGGUGCCGAUUUAACAUUUACUAUCAUUAUUGUUUCCUGAGAGCCAUCUUGGGGAAAGAAGGUAAGCACUCCAGAUCUCGAGAUUUUCAUUAUUCUCUUCAGUUUUCAGAGAAGUGGACUAAAGGGAUAAGUAGGAAUGCAGGAAAAACAGUCAAGGCAAAUUCUUAAGAAUAAGUGCCACGCUGGAUGAUGACUGAGCAGGAGCAAGAAAUGCCAGUAGGGACAUGAUUUUCCAAAGCUACAUUCUGAAUUGAGUGAAUUAACUGAAGGCUUAGUAUAUUCUACCAGAAAAACAGGAUACUCCUCCAACCAAGUGAAAUAAACCAUAGUAAUGGAUAUUUGACAACAUCUCAGAAGAGAGGGCAAAUCCUAAGGGUUUUAAUUUUUUUGUCAAAGCAAACUGCCAUGUCAGGAGCUGAUGAACUCUUCUCCUUCUCUUGCCUCUGCCCCUACUUUAAGGCAAAAAAAAAAAAAAAAGACAUAAACAAAAGAAAA